AAAACUUNCAACAACGGAUCUCUUGGCUCUGGCAUCGAUGAAGAACGCAGCGAAAAUGCGAUAAGUAAUGUGAAUUGCAGAAUUCAGUGAAUCAUCGAAUCUUUGAACGCACAUUGCGCCCAGCAGUACUCUGCUGGGCAUGCCUGUUCGAGCGUCAUUU
rnacentral:rRNA from 1 species